ACAUACAUUGUCCUCUUUAUUCUCGAAAUGGCUGGUUUUAUACAGUGUCAGAUAGUUUACAGUUUCAGGUGCUUUCUAAUUGGCAUCCAGCAUGAUAAAGAAUGCAAACAAUCUUAGCUUAAGGACGCUACCGUGAUUCUACUCUAACUGUCCUAUCUAAAGCAUGUACACACCUUAAAUUCUAACUGCGCCACAGGUUUAUCUACUUCUACACGGGCCCAAAUCUGAGGCCUAGCAGGCCCAAAUCUGAGGCCCAGUUUGGGAUAACUCAAACUUCAUUCCAUAACACAUCAUGCUUCUGCUACACGCGUGGUCAAGGAUUUGUUCAAAUUAAAUGGUAAGAACAACCAUUCCAAGAUUUUUAGUGGUUGUUUAGCCUCGCUAUCCCACUGCAUCAGUAUAGCCAUCACUUGUGCUUCCUUUUUCAGCACAGCUACAGACAGUGGCAAAGCAGGUGACCAGCGAUCUGCAAAGGAAUUAUCCAAUUUAGUGGCAAUCUGAGUCAAAGCCGUCUGUUGCUUUUCAGUUAGUUCAUGCAGCAAAUUGGCCUGAUUAUCCCCUUUCAAUAAUGGCAUUAAGGGCUCAAGGUCUUCAUUAGUUAUGUCACAGGUGGUAUGAAUCCACUGCAUGUCUUCAAUUAACUUUUGAGCAUCUGUCAAAGUCCAAAUUUCUGUACAAAUAGUUAAUCUUGGGGGCCAAAUUUGGGCUUCAGUGAUAAGCAUUCCCAAAUAUUUCCAUGGGGCCUGUUGUUGAACCUUUUCAGGGGCAACUUGAAGGCCUGCUGGCCGCAAUUUUUUCUGUAAGGCAGGUAGCAGGUUUGCGGCAUCCAAGUGUUCUGCUAUCAGAAUAUCAUCCAUGUAAUUAUAGAUAAGAUACUGUGGGUGCUGUUUUCUCAGUGAGGCUAGGGCCCAGGUGACACAGUUGGACACAAAAGAACCACGUGACUCACGGAUGACCCAGCAGGAAAGAAAAGCAGAACUUUACUUUCUUUCAUAUUUAUACAUUUUUGGCACCAGUUGUGGAUUGGUGGAUGGGAUCAUGACCCCUCCAACCACACUGGUCAAACAGACAGUCAAUCAGUUCUUCUCCUCCUCCAAAAAGGAAUGUAAACAAAAAACUACCGUUAGGUAAACAGUGCUAUUUUUACAUUAAGAAACUGUUAGAAGCGUGAGAAUCUGACUCCAAUAAAAUAAACACUCAGAAGGCUAAGAAAAUUCCAAAAGAACAGGGCGACACCCAGGCAACAUACAGUUGGCACAUCAUAGGAGAGUUACACAUCCCUCAGGGCAUUACGAACCAUUGAUACCUCUUUGCUGGUUCUGCCUUAUUAAUGGAUGGCACUGAGAAGGCAAACUUCUUGCUGUCAUACUCAUGGAGAGGAAUUGUGAAAAAACAGUCCUUUAGGUCAAUGAUCAGCAAUUGCCAAUUCACAGGUAACAUUGCUGGUGAGGGUAAACCAGCCUGCAGGGAUCCCAUUUCCUGCACUGUCAAAUUAACAGCUUGAAGGUCAUGUAUUAACCUCCACUUUCCUGAUUUUUUAGGGAUUGUAAAAAUGGGCAUAAUCCAGGGGCUCAUAGAAGAUAUUAUAUGCCCAUUUGUCAAUUGCUCAUCAACCAAUUCCGUAACAUGGGCAAGCUUUUCUUUAGACAGCAGCCAUUGGUCAAUCCAUAUUGGUGUUUCUGUUAACCAUUUUAGCUUUAGGAUUGGCCGCCCCUCAAUGGCUGCUGCUAAAAACCCUCAUUGGUAAGACAGAAACCCAUCUGGCUCAAUGCAUCCUGUCCCAGUAGCCAGAUUGUUGUAUUCAUUACAUAAGGUCUCACCUGGGCACAAACAUGUGCUUCAUUAUCAACCCACACUGUUAAAAGUGUUUCACUAACUCGAGUCAUUUGCAUGUCCCCCACCCCAUAACAGGUGUUCCCAGGGUAGUCAGAGGUCAUGCAGCAGGCCAUGCAAAUGAGGGAACAGUGGUCAUGUCUGCACCUGUGUCAAGCAACGCAGCUUUUCUUGUCAGGGUUCCUCCAUCGGGGUGCUGGAAGGUAAUGGGUUUAAUUGGUUUGGUUCCUGUUAAUGGUGGGGUAAACAUCACCUGAGGGGUUCCCGUUUACCCAAAACCUCCAUCCCCCUCAGCAUAACCCCUUAUCUAGGAACCUGAGCCUUAAAGGGAAUAAGCUGUUCCAGUCUGGUUCCUUUUGGAAUGUGAAUAGAUGGUCUCAGUGUUUGCACCAUUAUCCCAAUAUUGCCCAAAUAAUCUGCAUCAAUUAGUCCAGGCAAAACAAAAAUGCCUUGCUUUGAUGUGGAUGAUCUCCCUAUCAGCAGGGCACUAAGUCCAUGUCCUAAGCAUCCAUUUACCAUUGAUGGAACAAUCUGCACAUCAGUGUCAUUAAAGGUUAACUCUAUUGCUGUUUCCAGGGCUACUCCUGCACUUCCUGGGAUUGCUGAGUUGAGGAUAUCCAGGCAGCUGUCUGGUUUUGAGGGUGCAUUUGUGUCAUCGCAGGUCCUCCUUUUGCUCUCAGUCUCUCGUUUCCCAGCAGUGUUCCAUCUUUCUUAUGACUCAACUUGCAUUUGCUAGCUCAGUGUCCAAACUUAUCAUACCUGUUGCGGUUUCUUGAGAAACCAGUAGAUGUCACUGUUGCUUUACUUUUCUUCACAGCUCUGCACAGAGCUUUUAGGCGCCCAAACUUGCCACAAUUGUAACAUUUCAGAUUAUUACCUUUUCCUUGUUGACCCAAUGGUUUAAGAGCCGCUGACAUCACUUCAGCUAAGUAAGUAGCUUUUUCUUCUGGAGUUCCAACUCUCGAGCAAGCCUCUAUCAUAUCUACAAGAGUCGCUGUACGUGACAGCGUUUGCAAAAUUCUCUUACAGGUGGAAUUUGCAUUCUCCACGGACAACUGCAUUCCUAAAACGGCUUUAACAUCUGGAGACAUUCCUGGAACUGAAUUGAUUGCCUCUCUAAGGUGGUCUAGAAAACUCAUAAAAGUCUCUUUUGCCUCUUUGGUAUAAGAUGGUGUUGGAAGUCCCAUAUCUGGGGCAGCAUGGAAUGCUUCCCUUGCUAACUUCUGAGACUGUUGUAAGAUUGCAGCAUGUAGUCUGGCUUGCUCUUGAGAAUCAGAAAAAGGCCUUUUUCCCAGCAUCAUCUCAGGAGCAGCGAACUGCCAUGGGUCCCUGCUGAGGCCGUUUCUACAGGUUAAUAGAUCUUAAAGGUCCAAGAACAUUUUAAAGUCUUAUACAAAGUUGUUUAUUACAUGAAAGCAUAUCUCUGAAGGUGCAAGAGUCCUAAAUGAGUGGUCUUACAAUCGAUUAUGAGUAUAAAGUCUUAGAAAUUAAAUACCAGAAUAAACAGUAGUCUUAACAUGGAAUUUAACAUAACAUUCCAACCUUAGGAUAAAAAAAACCCCUCCAACUCCUGACCCCAAUCAGGGUUCCCAGCCACGGGGUUGCAGUGGCAGGAAGGGGUCCCAGGAUCACGAAUCCCAAACAGGUUUCCCAGCCGCAGGGUCACAGUGGCAGGAAGGGAUCCCGGGGUCCCAAACCCGCACAGAGUCCCCGGCAGCCCCGAACAGAGUUCCGGGGCAAGCGCCACAAGGGGAAAGGGAAAGGGAAAGGGAAAGGGAAAGGGAAAGGGAAAGGGAAAGGGAAAGGGAAAUGGAAAGGGAAAGGGAAAGGGAAAGGGAAAGGGAAAGGGAAAGGGAAAGGGAAAGGGAAAGGGAAAGGGAAAGGGAAAGGGAAAGGGAAAGGGAAAGGGAAAGGGAAAGGGAGGGACCCUGGGGCUCUGAUCCCACGCGACAAAGACUACAAUAGAUAGUACCUUUAGAAUCCCAUUUCAGCUCCCUGGUAGGGCUCGUUCCUCAGGCUGCAGAAGGUGGAGGUUGGAUCGAUAGAUCGGAUUGAUCGAUAUCUCCACUUCCAACCCAGAGGCUUUUAUCCAUAUGUUACAAAUGCAUAUUCAUACCUUUAUCUACACGCUACCCAAUCUAGGCUCAAUUCUCUAAGUUCGUAAAACUACGAAAAACUACAAAAAACAGUAUCAAAAACCUAUGCAUAUAGCAUAUCUAUUAGAGCAAAAACUCUAUCUUGCUAGUGUAAAAGUUCUAUCUUGUUAUGUGAAAAAUUUUAUCUUAACAUACAUCAAAAACUUUAUCUUAUUUGCACAAAAUUCAUACCAAAAAUUAUAAACAGUACUCUACUCUAUUUUUUUUAUAUCUAAACUCUAUGACUAGGCCUGAAGCUCUGUACUUCUACACUAACAAUUAGGCACUUAGGGUAUGUGAAAUUUAAAGCUGAGGCUUAAAUCUCUACUUUAUGUGUGUGUGGCUUUAUAUAUUUUAAUUUUUCUAAAGGUUUUAAUUCAGUCCCUGCACUUCUCACUCUCUGCAGGGGAUCCAUGGAAUCAUGGACUCCAGCAGGUCCCCCUGAGGGAGUCCAAGAUUUUCAGUAACUGCAUCUUCUACUUUCCAUUCCCAAUCAGCUUGUCACAGCAGUCUCUUCAUGGGUUUUAAAAAGGUGUCUGCCAGCUUUUUACAGUCAAAUGGGACCAUUAAACUGCUAGUAAAUACGUGACUGAGUAAAGUCUGCACAUAAGGGUUUGUCAGUCCAUAUUACAUCACCGCUCUUGGUCCCUCUCGGACGAGCUUCCAAUCCAGAGCCACCCACUGGUGUUGGUUUGGGUUACCAGGGGCAGAGAUUACCGGGAAAGCUUGCAGAAGGAACUCACCCUCAAUCAAGGCUUCUCGUAUGAUUCCCCGCCACUGCCGAGCAGGAUCGUAGCCAUCAUGGGACCUGAGGUGACUCAUGAAAUUCCGUUCAGGGCUUCCUCUCCAGUGCUCGGGGGCUCCACUCCUCUUCCCGCUGCCACAGGCACGCUCCUAGCCGUCCGGUCGAGUUAAUCAAGGAUCAGUCAUUCUUCACAUUCCACAGUACCGAUCCGGAAUCUUGCUCCUGUUGUUUCCUCCUCUCUCCUCGCCACUGUUUCAUCAUCAGGGUUACUUUUUCUGGAGAGUUGAGCUCGCACAUCCUCGCUGCUGGUACGGUCCAGAUCAGGACUCCGAGAAUCCAUGGAAACAUGGACUCCAACACAAGCCCUCCUCACUGCCCUGAGGAUCUUGAACUCCACCAUCUCAUGGUCACUGCAGCCAAGGCUGCCUUAGAGCAUCACAUUCUCCACAAGCUCCUCCCUCUUGGGACCAAAGACGACUUUCAGCCCAACAACAUAAACAAUGAUGGACUGAGAAGAGGAACAAGAAGGAUGGAACCUCACAACCGGAAGCUGUAAUUGGACAAUUAAACCCCAAUAUUCAAAUGGACCAAAACUUAUAAAAAUGUAAUAUCUUGUGACAGGUCAGCCAUUUUUCUUGUGGCCAUUCUUAGUCCACCCAGGGUGCAGCCUUGGUCAGGUUCCUGUCCUGCCCAAGGUGGAUCCUGGAGGCCUU